GACGAACGCUGGCGGCGUGCCUAAUGCAUGCAAGUCGAGCGGGCUACGAUCUUCGGAUUGUAGCUUAGCGGCGAACGGGUGAGUAACACGUAGGUAAUCUACCCUUCAGAGGAGGACAACCUCAGGAAACUGAGGCUAAACCUUCAUACGUUCACUGGUAGGGAUACUGGUGAAGAAAGAGUUACCUUAAAGGUAGCUGCUGAAGGAUGAGCCUGCGGCCCAUCAGGUAGUUGGUGAGGUAACGGCUCACCAAGCCGAAGACGGGUAACCGGUCUGAGAGGAUGUCCGGUCACACUGGGACUGAGACACGGACCAAACUCCUACGGGAGGCAGCAGUGAGGAAUAUUGGUCAAUGGGCGAGAGCCUGAACCAGCCAAGUCGCGUGAAGGAAGAAGGAUCUAUGGUUCGUAAACUUCUUUUUAGGGAAUAAAGUGCGGUACGUGUACCGUUUGUAUGUACCUACGAAUAAGGAUCGGCUAACUCCGUGCCAGCAGCCGCGGUAAUAGUACUCUA
rnacentral:rRNA from 1 species